rnacentral:rRNA from 1 species
UGAGGAAUAUUGGUCAAUGGCCGAAGGGCUGAACCAGCCAAGUCGCGUGAGGGAAGACGGCCCUACGGGUUGUAAACCUCUUUUGCCGGGGAGCAAAGGCGGUCACUGGUGACCGGAUGAGAGUACCCGGAGAAAAGCAUCGGCUAACUCCGUGCC